rnacentral:rRNA from 1 species
CUGGCGGCAGGCUUACACAUGCAAGUCGAGCGGUAGCACAGGGGAGCUUGCUCCCUGGGUGACGAGCGGCGGACGGGUGAGUAAUGUCUGGGAAACUGCCUGAUGGAGGGGGAUAACUACUGGAAACGGUAGCUAAUACCGCAUAACGUCGCAAGACCAAAGAGGGGGACCUUCGGGCCUCUUGCCAUCAGAUGUGCCCAGAUGGGAUUAGCUAGUAGGUGGGGUAAUGGCUCACCUAGGCGACGAUCCCUAGCUGGUCUGAGAGGAUGACCAGCCACACUGGAACUGAGACACGGUCCAGACUCCUACGGGAGGCAGCAGUGGGGAAUAUUGCACAAUGGGCGCAAGCCUGAUGCAGCCAUGCCGCGUGUGUGAAGAAGGCCUUCGGGUUGUAAAGCACUUUCAGCGAGGAGGAAGGUGGUGAGCUUAAUACGCUCAUCAAUUGACGUUACUCGCAGAAGAAGCACCGGCUAACUCCGUGCCAGCAGCCGCGGUAAUACGGAGGGUACAAGCGUUAAUCGGAAUUACUGGGCGUAAAGCGCACGCAGGCGGUUUGUUAAGUCAGAUGUGAAAUCCCCGGGCUCAACCUGGGAACUGCAUUUGAAACUGGCAAGCUAGAGUCUCGUAGAGGGGGGUAGAAUUCCAGGUGUAGCGGUGAAAUGCGUAGAGAUCUGGAGGAAUACCGGUGGCGAAGGCGGCCCCCUGGACGAAGACUGACGCUCAGGUGCGAAAGCGUGGGGAGCAAACAGGAUUAGAUACCCUGGUAGUCCACGCUGUAAACGAUGUCGAUUUGGAGGUUGUGCCCUUGAGGCGUGGCUUCCGGAGCUAACGCGUUAAAUCGACCGCCUGGGGAGUACGGCCGCAAGGUUAAAACUCAAAUGAAUUGACGGGGGCCCGCACAAGCGGUGGAGCAUGUGGUUUAAUUCGAUGCAACGCGAAGAACCUUACCUACUCUUGACAUCCAGAGAACUUUCCAGAGAUGGAUUGGUGCCUUCGGGAACUCUGAGACAGGUGCUGCAUGGCUGUCGUCAGCUCGUGUUGUGAAAUGUUGGGUUAAGUCCCGCAACGAGCGCAACCCUUAUCCUUUGUUGCCAGCGGUUCGGCCGGGAACUCAAAGGAGACUGCCAGUGAUAAACUGGAGGAAGGUGGGGAUGACGUCAAGUCAUCAUGGCCCUUACGAGUAGGGCUACACACGUGCUACAAUGGCGUAUACAAAGAGAAGCGACCUCGCGAGAGCAAGCGGACCUCAUAAAGUACGUCGUAGUCCGGAUUGGAGUCUGCAACUCGACUCCAUGAAGUCGGAAUCGCUAGUAAUCGUAGAUCAGAAUGCUACGGUGAAUACGUUCCCGGGCCUUGUACACACCGCCCGUCACACCAUGGGAGUGGGUUGCAAAAGAAGUAGGUAGCUUAACCUUCGGGAGGGCGCUUACCACUUUGU